CGUUGACCUCGGAUCAGGUAGGAAUACCCGCUGAACUUAAGCAUAUCAAUAAGCGGAGGAAAAGAAACCAACAGGGAUUGCCUCAGUAACGGCGAGUGAAGCGGCAACAGCUCAAAUUUGAAAUCUGGCCUAGGCCCGAGUUGUAAUUUGCAGAGGAUGCUUUUGGCGCGGUGCCUUCCGGAGUUCCCUGGAACGGGACGCCAUAGAGGGUGAGAGCCCCGUCUGGUUGGACACCAAGCCUUUGUAAAGCUCCUUCGACGAGUCGAGUAGUUUGGGAAUGCUGCUCAAAAUGGGAGGUAUAUGUCUUCUAAAGCUAAAUACCGGCCAGAGACCGAUAGCGCACAAGUAGAGUGAUCGAAAGAUGAAAAGCACUUUGGAAAGAGAGUUAAACAGCACGUGAAAUUGUUAAAAGGGAAGCGUUUAUGACCAGACUUGGGCCGGUUAAUCAUCCAGCGUUCUCGCUGGUGCACUUUGCCGGUCCAGGCCAGCAUCAGUUCGCUGCGGGGGAUAAAGGCGUCGGGAAUGUGGCUCCUCGGAGUGUUAUAGCCCUUCGCGUAAUACCCUGUGGUGGACUGAGGUUCGCGCUCUGCAAGGAUGCUGGCGUAAUGGUCAUCAACGACCCGUCUUGAAACACGGACCAAGGAGUCGUCUUCGUAUGCGAGUGUUCGGGUGUAAAACCCCUACGCGUAAUGAAAGUGAACGCAGGUGAGAGCUUCGGCGCAUCAUCGACCGAUCCUGAUGUUCUCGGAUGGAUUUGAGUAAGAGCAUACGGGGCCGGACCCGAAAGAAGGUGAACUAUGCCUGUAUAGGGUGAAGCCAGAGGAAACUCUGGUGGAGGCUCGCAGCGGUUCUGACGUGC
rnacentral:rRNA from 1 species